rnacentral:lncRNA from 1 species
AAAAACUAAAUUCUCUCCACUCCUCUGUCGCCUUCAAAUCCAAAACUUCAUCAGACUCCGAUUUGGAUGGAGUACGAGGUUUCGACGACGCUGGUAUGAAGGUAAGAAUUUCUUUCCUUUCUUUUUCUUUUAUUCAAGAACAGAUCAAAAAAUAAAUAAAAAUAAAAAAACUUUGAGAAUCACCUUCAAGAAAACUGAUGUAUUUUUAUUGCUUUUUUUUUUUCAGUAUCCCCCCAUUAUAGUAUGUUAAGAUGGCUUUUAUAGCCGAAAUGAAACAAGAAAAUAAAGGAAAAAAAUCAUUCUAUUCUCUGCUUGAUUUGCUAUUUUUCUGAUUUUCUUGCCUAUACUGUUUGUUGCCUUUUGCAGGUGCCUGCUUGGAGGAGCACACGCACGCGGAGGCGCAGCACGUGCGGGGAAGGACUCUGGUUGCGGCGCCAAAUGCCACUGUUGUUGCCCUAGGGUUUCAGAAACUAUUUUGGGCAUUUGGGCCACAUUGUAAUUGGGCCUUUGUUUUUAGAUUGGGUCUGGGGUUUUGAGUGUACUGGGCCCGGGCAAAAAUGGGCUAUUACAAUGGUAAUACCACUGAGUAUGAAAUACUCAGCAUACGGUUGUUUCCGUGCACAGGUCGAUAGAAGUCAAAGGUCCCGGUUCAGCAUCCAGACUAAUCCCGACUUCAGCAUAACUUUGGUGAUGUAUAUUUUCCUUUGGGUAAUGUGGCAUGUACAUAGGAUGUGUAUAAAGGUUGUUAUGUUUUAAUAUAAAUGGUUAAAAAAUGUUAAUAUUAAAAGUUUAUGAAUUAUUAUGAAAG